GAUGAACGCUGGCGGCGUGCCUAAUACAUGCAAGUCGAGCGAACAGACGAGGAGCUUGCUCCUCUGACGUUAGCGGCGGACGGGUGAGUAACACGUGGAUAACCUACCUAUAAGACUGGGAUAACUUCGGGAAUCCGGAGCUAAUACCGGAUAAUAUAUUGAACCGCAUGGUUCAAUAGUGAAAGACGGUUUUGCUGUCACUUAUAGAUGGAUCCGCGCCGCAUUAGCUAGUUGGUAAGGUAACGGCUUACCAAGGCAACGAUGCGUAGCCGACCUGAGAGGGUGGUCGGCCACACUGGAACUGAGACACGGUCCAGACUCCUACGGGAGGCAGCAGUAGGGAAUCUUCCGCAAUGGGCGAAAGCCUGACGGAGCAACGCCGCGUGAGUGAUGAAGGUCUUCGGAUCGUAAAACUCUGUUAUUAGGGAAGAACAAAUUUGUAAGUAACUAUGCACGUCUUGACGGUACCUAAUCAGAAAGCCACGGCUAACUACGUG
rnacentral:rRNA from 1 species